GCUCGCGUGGUGUAGUCCGGCCCAUCAUACUGGGUUUUCGAUCCGGCGACCCGGGUUCGAAUCCCGGCGCGAGCACCA
rnacentral:tRNA from 2 species